rnacentral:rRNA from 1 species
CACGUAGGGGGCAAGCGUUGUCCGGAUUUAUUGGGCGUAAAGAGCUCGUAGGCGGUUCGAUAAGUCGGGUGUGAAACCUCCAGGCUCAACCUGGAGACGCCACUCGAUACUGUCGUGACUAGAGUCCAGUAGGGGAGCGUGGAAUUCCUGGUGUAGCGGUGAAAUGCGCAGAUAUCAGGAGGAACACCAGCGGCGAAGGCAGCUCGCUGGAACGGUACUGACGCUGAGGCGCGAAAGCGUGGGGAGCGAACAGG